CCAUUGAAAACGAAAUUGCCGAUGCAAAAGAGACAUUCACUGUACACUAUUCACACAUCUCAACUUCGUUCCCUUUGUUUCUCAUUUGAAACCUUCACAACUCUUAUUUCACAACUCAAUUUUUUUUCUACUAUUUUUCUUCCAAGCAAGCAUUCAUUUUCAUUUUCUCUAUUUUUUUUUCUUUUCUUUUCACAUUGUAUUCACAAAACAAAUGUUUCUCUUUUCUAAUUUUUUUUUCAAUGCUUGCUCGGUUAUUCAAGAGUUGUGGCACUUACCGAUUCUCAUUUUUG
rnacentral:lncRNA from 1 species